UACAGAGGGUGCGAGCGUUAAUCGGAAUUACUGGGCGUAAAGGGCGCGUAGGCGGCUUAACAAGUCACUUGUGAAAUCUCCGGGCUUAACUCGGAACGGCCAAGUGAAACUGUCAAGCUAGAGUGCAGAAGGGGCAAUCGGAAUUCUUGGUGUAGCGGUGAAAUGCGUAGAUAUCAUUAGGAACGCCGGUGGCGAAAGCGCCCGACUGGACCUCUUCUGACGCUGAGGCGCGAAAGCCAGGGGAGCAAACGGG
rnacentral:rRNA from 1 species